GGGGGAGCACCAGAUCCUGGGCUGUGUCGGUGGCGCCCUGCGCUCCCGGGCCUGCGCUGUUGGAUUCGCGCUCCAGGCUGCGCAGCCCCUU
rnacentral:pre_miRNA from 1 species